rnacentral:lncRNA from 1 species
GAAGAUGUGGAUAUUCAAGAGAAGGUCACGGCGAGACGAGUCGUUUAUCAUUACGAUAGGUGUCAAGUGGAAGUGCAGUGAUGUAUGCAUUGGUGUUCUUUCUUAUCUCUACACAUUUCACCGCUCCACCGAAAAUUUCCUCUGCCCCUACAGUACUCCAACUUGAUAGUUUCCACCUCCUGUCCAAGGUUGAGCCCUGGGAUUUGACGACGGACUUAAAAAGCCACCUACAGACGCCUUACGCCCAAUUAACCCCACAAAUUUUCAUGAUAAUUGUUGAC